rnacentral:tRNA from 1 species
GAGUAAGAAGCGAUAUAUUGCACUCAGUUUCGACCUGACCUUAGGUAAUUUUACCCUUAUUCU